UUCCGUACAGUGAACCGGAGGAUGGAUCAUUACCGAGUUUACAACUCCCAAACCCCUGUGAACAUACCAAUUGUUGCCUCGGCGGAUCAGCCCGCUCCCGGUAAAACGGGACGGCCCGCCAGAGGACCCCUAAACUCUGUUUCUAUAUGUAACUUCUGAGUAAAACCAAAAAUAAAUCAAAACUUUCAACAACGGAUCUCUUGGUUCUGGCAUCGAUGAAGAACGCAGCAAAAUGCGAUAAGUAAUGUGAAUUGCAGAAUUCAGUGAAUCAUCGAAUCUUUGAACGCACAUUGCGCCCGCCAGUAUUCUGGCGGGCAUGCCUGUUCGAGCGUCAUUUCAACCCUCAAGCCCAGCUUGGGUGUUGGGAUCUCGCGAGUCAAAUCGCGUUCCCCAAAUUGAUUGGCGGUCACGUCGAGCUUCCAUAGCGUAGUAGUAAAACCCUCGUUACUGGUAAUCGUCGCGGCCACGCCGUUAAACCCCAACUUCUGAAUGUUGACCUCGGAUCAGGUAGGAAUACCCGCUGAACUUAAGCAUAUCAA
rnacentral:rRNA from 1 species